rnacentral:misc_RNA from 1 species
CCAAACUUGGUCAUUUAGAGGAAGUAAAAGUCGUAACAAGGUUUCCGUAGGUGAACCUGCGGAAGGAUCAUUAAUGAAUUAUGCCUCGGUUGGUUGAUGCUGGCGUCUCGACGCAUGUGCUCACCUUCUUACGGCACUCAUUAUCCAAACACCUGUGCAUCACGGAGCGAGAUGAGCUGCCUUCUGGGCGGCGAGUCUCCUCUGAUUUACAAACUCUUCUGAACUCAGAAUAUCUGCUUGUCGCAAGACAGCAAAACAAAAACUUACAACUUUUAACAACGGAUCUCUUGGCUCUCGCAUCGAUGAAGAACGCAGC